rnacentral:rRNA from 1 species
UACGUAGGGUGCGAGCGUUAAUCGGAAUUACUGGGCGUAAAAGCGUGCGCAGGCGGUUCGUGAUGUCUGAUGUGAAAGCCCCCGGGCUCAACCUGGGAAUUGCAUUGGAAACUAGCGGGCUGGAGUGUGGCAGAGGGGGGGUGGAAUUCCACGUGUAGCAGUGAAAUGCGUAGAGAUGUGGAGGAACACCGAUGGCGAAGGCAGCCCCCCUGGGCUAACACUGACGCUCAUGCACGAAAGCGUGGGGAGCAAACAGG